GACGAACGCUGGCGGCGUGCUUAACACAUGCAAGUCGAACGGAAAGGCCCUGCUUUUGUGGGGUGCUCGAGUGGCGAACGGAAGAGGAACACGUGAGUAGCCUGCCCUGGACUUUGGGAUAACUUCAGGACACUGGGGCUAAUACCGGAUAGGAGCUCCUGCUGCUUGGGGGUGGUUGGAAAGUGUCGGCGGUUGGGGAUGGACGCGCGGCUUAUCAGGUUGUUGGUGGGGUGGUGGCUUACCAGGGCUUUGAAGGGUAGCCGGCCUGAGAGGGUGACCGGCAACAUUGGGACUGAGAUACGGCCCAGCCGCCUACGGGAGGCAGCAGUGGGGAAUAUUGCACAAUGGGCGGAAGCCGGAUGCAGCGACGCCGCGUGCGGGAUGACGGCCUUCGGGUUGUAAACCGCUUUCGCCUGUGACGAAGCGUGAGUGACGGUAGUGGGUAAAGAAGCACCGGCUAACUACGUG
rnacentral:rRNA from 1 species